UUACUGCUGAUGAGUCCCACAAUAGGACGAAACGGCCGUCCAGUGC
rfam:Schistosoma margrebowiei strain Zambia genome assembly, scaffold: SMRZ_contig0001123